rnacentral:rRNA from 1 species
GGUGUCUUCGGACAUAGUGGCGCACGGGUGCGUAACACGUAUGCAACCUACCUUACAUUGGGGGAUAGCCUUUCGAAAGGGAGAUUAAUACCGCAUAAGACAGUAGCUGGGCAUCCAGCAGCUGUUAAAGAUUUAUCGAUGUAAGAUGGGCAUGCGACCAAUUAGUUAGUUGGCGAGGUAACGGCUCACCAAGACUAUGAUUGGUAGGGGAACUGAGAGGUCAAUCCCCCACACUGGCACUGAGAUACGGGCCAGACUCCUACGGGAGGCAGCAGUAGGGAAUAUUGGGCAAUGGACGCAAGUCUGACCCAGCCAUGCCGCGUGCAGGAUGAAGGCCCUCUGGGUUGUAAACUGCUUUUAUCUGGGAAGAAAAAGUCCAUGCGUGGAAAAUUGCCGGUACCAGAUGAAUAAGCACCGGCUAACUCCGUGCCAGCAGCCGCGGUAAUACGGAGGGUGCAAGCGUUGUCCGGAUUUAUUGGGUUUAAAGGGUGCGUAGGCGGCUGAAUAAGU